rnacentral:pre_miRNA from 1 species
AGCUACAUUGCUAGAUCAUAUGGCAAGAUAUGAUUAGUUUUGUAAGAAACUGCCAAACUGUCUUCCAACAUGGCUACACCAUUUUGCAUUCCCACAAGCAAU